rnacentral:rRNA from 1 species
UAGGGAAUAUUGCGCAAUGGAGGAAACUCUGACGCAGCGACGCCGCGUGGGUGACGAAGGCUUUCGGGUCGUAAAGCCCUGUCGAAAGGGAAGAAAAAUGGUAUGGCUAAUAUCCAUAUCACUUGACGGUACCUUUAGAGGAAGCACCGGCUAACUACGUGCCAGCAGCCGCGGUAAUACGUAGGGUGCUAGCGUUGUUCGGAAUCAUUGGGCGUAAAGCGUGUGUAGGUGGUUAGUUAAGUCGGGUGUGAAAUCCCUAGGCUCAACCAAGGAAGUGCAUCCGAAACUAAUUAGCUAGAAGAUGGUAGAGAAAGGUGGAAUUCCAAGUGUAGAGGUGAAAUUCGUAGAUAUUUGGAGGAAUACCGGUGGCGAAGGCGGCCUUUUGGACCAUUCUUGACACUGAGACACGAAAGCGUGGGGAGCAAACAGGAUUAGAUACCCCCGUAGUCC